UACGGGGGGGGCAAGCGUUGUUCGGAAUUACUGGGCGUAAAGAGCUCGUAGGCGGUUUGUCGCGUCUGCUGUGAAAACUCAGGGCUUAACCCUGAGCUUGCAGUGGGUACGGGCAGACUAGAGUGCGGUAGGGGAGACUGGAAUUCCUGGUGUAGCGGUGAAAUGCGCAGAUAUCAGGAGGAACACCGGUGGCGAAGGCGGGUCUCUGGGCCGUAACUGACGCUGAGGAGCGAAAGCAUGGGGAGCGAACAGG
rnacentral:rRNA from 1 species